rnacentral:rRNA from 1 species
GACGAACGCUGGCGGCGUGCUUAACACAUGCAAGUCGAGCGAUGAAGCACCUUCGGGUGUGAAUUAGCGGCGAACGGGUGAGGAACACGUGAAGAAUCUGCCUUCAACUCUGGGAUAACUCCGGGAAACCGGGGCUAAUACCGGAUAUGAGCCUUGAUCGCAUGAUCGGGGCUGGAAAGUUUUUCGGUUGAAGACGACUUCGCGGCCUAUCAGCUUGUUGGUGAGGUAAUGGCUCACCAAGGCGACGACGGGUAGCCGGCCUGAGAGGGCGACCGGCCACACUGGGACUGAGACACGGCCCAGACUCCUACGGGAGGCAGCAGUGGGGAAUAUUGGGCAAUGGAGGAAACUCUGACCCAGCGACGCCGCGUGAGGGAUGAAGGCCUUCGGGUUGUAAACCUCUUUCAGUAGGGAAGAAGCGAAAGUGACGGUACCUACAGAAGAAGCACCGGCUAACUAUGUGCCAGCAGCCGCUGUAA